AUGUGGCAAGAUAUUGUUCGGGCGCGCUACCUGACUAAUAAAUCUGUGGCGUCGGUUAAGCCCAGAUUUUCUGAUUCCCCCUGUUGGAAAGCCCUGCUUAAAGUCAAAGAUAUCUAUUUGGUAGGUAGAAAGAUCCAUUUGGAAUCUGGUGACCUUGUUAGAGUCUGGAAAGAUUUCAUAAACGGGUUGAAUCCUUUUCAGACCCUCUACCCUUCGCUGUUUGAGAUCUGCAAUAAUCAGGAUUGCACUAUUGCUAAUUUCAAGUCUGUGGACGUCCAUUCUUUCUUUAGAAGGAGACUCACUCCUGAAUUAUCCCGUCAAUGGGAGGAAAUAAACAAAACGAUCAAUAAUAUCCAGCUGAGUCAGGGUGGGGACCGGGUC
rnacentral:rRNA from 1 species